rnacentral:rRNA from 1 species
CAACGCGAAGAACCUUACCACGGCCUUGACAUGCAGAGAACUUUCCUAGAGAUGGAUUGGUGGCCUUCGGGAACUCUGACACAGGUGCUGCACGGCUGUCGUCAGCUCGUGUCGUGAGAUGUUGGGUUAAGUCCCGUAACGAGCGCAACCCUUGUCCUUAGUUACCAGCACGUUAUGGUGGGCACUCUAAGGAGACUGCCGGUGACAAACCGGAGGAAGGUGGGGAUGACGUCAAGUCAUCAUGGCCCUUACGGCCUGGGCUACACACGUGCUACAAUGGUCGGUACAAAGGGUUGCCAAGCCGCGAGGUGGAGCUAAUCCCAUAAAACCGAUCGUAGUCCGGAUCGCAGUCUGCAACUCGACUGCGUGAAGUCGGAAUCGCUAGUAAUCGUGAAUCAGAAUGUCACGGUGAAUACGUUCCCGGGCCUU